rnacentral:lncRNA from 12 species
GGGGGGGGGGGGGGGGGGGGGGGGGGGCUGUGGCUCUGUGAUUCUGUGACUCUGUGGCUCUGUGAUUCUGUGACUAUGACUCUGUGAUUCUGUGGCUCUGUGAUUCUGUGACUAUGACUGAUUCUGUGACUCUGUGGUUCUGUGGUUCUGUGACUAUGACUCUGUGACUCUGUUUCUGUGGUUCUGUGGUUCUCUGAUUCUGUGACUCUGUGGCUCUGUGAUUCUGUUGAUCUUGGAGGUCUCUUCCAACUGAGUGACUCUGUGACUCUGUGGCUCUGUGAUUCUCUGAUUCUAUGACUCUGUGACUCUGUGACUCUGUGACUCUGUGACUCUGUGACUCUGUGACUCUGUGACUCUGUGACUCUGUGACUCUGUGGCUCUGUGGUUCUGUGCCUCUGACCCAGAGCAGUUGGGUGUUCCAGUGCAUUUGGACCCCCUCCAUGAUUAACCCCAACCUGGCUCUUCCUCCCUUCACCACUCCCACCCUCAUUACACCCAACAUCCCAGUGAAGCCUCUCUCAUUUCUCCCAGCCAGAUGACCAAAUGUUGUCUUUACCUUUUCUUAGGGUUGCCCUGGAGCCUGGUUUGGGACCAACUGACCAAGGAGCCCACGGGAGGAUCUGGAAUUAUCCAUGGAGCCUGGCUCAUCUUUUCACAUCAAUCUGUCUCUAUCCACCUAAGGAAUGGCAGCCAGGCAUCUUCAUGCAGUGAUAUGGGAGAUGUUUGCCCAGCCCACCACCUUAUCCUGCAAAUAAUUCGUUCCCAGGACCAUCUUCCAUCUUUCACCAGCUCCAAAUUCACAUCUUCCCAAAAUACAUAUGUGGA